GACGAACGCUGGCGGCGUGCUUAACACAUGCAAGUCGAACGGAAAGGCCCUGCUUUUGUGGGGUGCUCGAGUGGCGAGCGGGUGAGUAACACGUGAGUAACCUGCCCUUGACUUUGGGAUAACUUCAGGAAACUGGGGCUAAUACCGGAUAGGAGCGCCUGCUGCAUGGUGUGGGUUGGAAAGUUUCGGCGGUUGGGGAUGGACUCGCGGCUUAUCAGCUUGUUGGUGGGGUAGUGGCUUACCAAGGCUUUGACGGGUAGCCGGCCUGAGAGGGUGACCGGCCACAUUGGGACUGAGAUACGGCCCAGACUCCUACGGGAGGCAGCAGUGGGGAAUAUUGCACAAUGGGCGGAAGCCUGAUGCAGCAACGCCGCGUGCGGGAUGACGGCCUUCGGGUUGUAAACCGCUUUCGCCUGUGACGAAGCGUGAGUGACGGUAAUGGGUAAAGAAGCACCGGCUAACUACGUG
rnacentral:rRNA from 1 species